GAGACCUUAACUGUCAACAACGCCGGAGGCUGGAAGGGAAGCAGCGUAGGCCUCACGGGCAGAAAACAAAACACACCUUCAAGGAUGGAAUUAAUCGACGUCGCUUGACGUAACCUAUGGAUGCGAGAGCUGGACCAUAAGGAAGGCUGAGCGAAGGAAGAUAGACGCUUUUGAACUCUGGUGCUGGAGGAAAAUCCUGAGAGUGCCUUGGACCGCAAGAAGAUCCAGCCAGUCCAUCCUCCAGGAAAUAAUGCCCAGCUGCUCACUGGAGGGAAGGAUAUUAGAGGCAAAGCUGAAGUAUUUUAGCCACAUCAUGAGGAGACAGGAAAGCUUGGAAAAGAUCACGAUGCUGGGGAAAAUGGAAGGAAAAAGGAAGAGAGGCCGUCCAAGGGCAAGAUGGAUGGGCGGUAUCCUUGAAGUGACUGGCUUGACCUUGAAGGAACUGGGGGCGGUGACGGCCGACAGGAAGCUCUGGCGUGGACUGGUCCAUGAGGUCACAAAGAGUCGGAGACAACUAAAUGACUGAACAGCAGCAGUUUCCAUUCACAGAAAUAUUGUACAUUUAUUCUUUGUUAGUUCCUUUGAAAGCAUUUCAGUGCUUGUUGGGAUUAUUUAUUUGCUUGUUUGUUUACAGUACUUAUAUUCCAUCCUUCUCACCCCAAAGGGGACUCAGGGUGGAUUACAAUGCGCAUAUACAUGGCAAACAUUCAAUUCCAUUAUUAGACACACAACACACAUACAGACAGACAUUAGAGGUAAUUCAACAUUUUUCCAACUUCCGGUUUCAGGAGGUUAUGCUCGAUUCCGGCCACAGGGGAAGCUGUCACUUCAUCCACUAUGACGCUGAGUCCUUUUUGAUUAUAGUAUUUCUUCCUUGCUCUUUGCUCACCUGCAGUUUUUAUGGUAUCGUAAAUUAAAUUAACCUCCCUGCAUUAACCAGUCCCUAAUUUGUCUACUUACAUCUGCAACUGUUUUCGAACUGCUUAGGUGGACAGUAAGCUAGGUUAUUAAACGGUCGGGUGCUCAAUCCGACGCAGGCUUUGAACUCAUGACCUUUUGGUCAGCACUGAUCUAUUGCUUCUGGCUAUUGACCAGCUGCACCACAGCCUGGCCCUACUUACUGUUAAUAAUAAUAAUAAUGAUAAUAAUAAAUGAAAUCCAGCAUAUCUAUCUUGUUUGCUGUGUCAUACUUUUAUAAUAAUAAUAAUAAUCUUUAUUUAUAUUCCACUCUAUCUCACUGAGGGGACUCAGAGUGGAUUAUAUAUAUGGCAAACAUUCAAUGCCGUUAUACAGUUGAUAAAGACAUACAGUACAUAAACAUAGGCAGGCUUCCCUCCUUUUCCAUCUCUGUCAUCUAGAUGGUGUGCUCAACCUGGCCAUGGGAAAGUGCUGUUGUUCCAUUCUUCCAUGCCGAGGAGCUUGUCCAUGGACGCUUUCCUGAUCAAACUGCAGGCAUGUUUUUCAGGGGUGGCUUUUACCUUCCCGCCAAAGCAAUAUCUAUUUAUCUACUUACGUUGCUGUUUUUGAACUGCUAGGUAGGCAGAAGCUAGGCUGUUGGCAAGAGCUUACCCCUUCCACGGCUUGAACUGCCAACCUUCCAGUUGGCAAGAUCUUCUGUCGCUGGUGGUUUAACCUGCUGUGCUAGCCGUGGCCCUACAUUACACAGUUAUAGCACAAUUAUUCCAGUUUAAAUGAGAUGGAUCUAUCUUACGGGAUCCAGGAAUCUGUCAUUUAGGAAGGGAUAUUUAGAGUUCUCUGCUGGAGAGCUCUACUUGUCACACCAAACCACAAACGCUAGGAUUCCAUAGGCUGUUGCCAUUGCAAUAAAACCAGAAUCAUAGUGCUAUAACCAUAUAGUGUGGAAGGGCCCACAGUGUUCCAUUCCAAUAUAAACUAAUAUUUGCCCUUUCAUUUUUACUUUGAAUUUGUAUAUAUAUUGACUCAUUCAGACUCACAUACACAAACAGGCAACAACAAAAUUGUAGUCUUGUCUCCUUUUAUUGUACAUGAACUCAUUUAUUUGCUUGGUUUUCGUGACAGUACCCCAAAGCCUGUUGAUGAUCAAAUCCCAUUAUACACAAUGAUGUAGUAAAAUGGUGUCCCAUAUAUAAAAUGGUAAAAUCAAGGUAUUAUUAUUAUUAUUAUUAUUAUUAUUAUUAUUAUUAUUAUUAUUAUUAUUUGUAUCCUGCUUUAUCUCUCUAACAAAGAGACUCAAACCUGAUCACAAUAAAACCGAUAGGAUUUUAAAAAAUAUUUUUAAGCCAUGGAUACAGAAUUCAUAAAUGUGAAAGACACAUUGUAUUACCUUUUGACAAGACUUCAAAACAAUCAAUAAUAAAUGUUCUGAUAUAUUAUUUGAAGCACAGACAAUAACCUCAAUAUCACAUGAAUGUCUAUUGUACCCAGGCAGCCGUUUCUUGUUGGUUUUCUUGUCCUUCAGAAAUAAGUUGCAAGUACAAAAAGCUAGAUGCCAUUAAACCAGUCAGUCUCUAA